CAACUUCUUCAGGGAGAGGAGUCAUCCUUCAACACCCAAAGAUGAAGAAAGAAAGAAAAAACAGAAGCAGCAGAUUCGACUUCGCUCGAAGGGAAUCAAAGAACGGCCAUCUGAUUUCCAUAGCAUCGCUCCAGACUUGGUCUGUCUUCAAGCGCUCUCUUCUUGCCUUUUUCAUUCCUUGGAUGAGCCCUAAAGCCUCCGUCUCACCAUCCUCUCCUGUCAUACAAUAAUUUGCUCCAUUAAUAUACAAUUUCCAUGUGAAAUGAGACAUAGUGCCCAUGCUGUGCUCCUUGAACCUGUAUCCUUACACUAGUGAUGAUGAUAAUGUUUGUAUUUGUGUGUGGUGAUGUGAUAUUAUUUGAGGAUAGCGAGUCGGAUAUCAUUUGUUUUUUGGGGCCACUGUUUGGUAUCCCAUAGGAGACCCAAAACUCAACCUGCUUUAUGACUUGUUGCAAAUCUGGUUUUUGAUCAUUGAAUACACAUUGAUUUCUAUGU